UUUUGAAAUCAGCGGUCUAUUUCUGAGUAGCUUGCUUCACAAGAAAAAUCGGGAAUUUCAUCGGACAAUUUUAGGCCGACGCCCUCUAUGUUCCGCAGCAAAUUUUCGUGAUUUUCAGUCGAUUUCCCGUUCUGUGUGAACUUGCGCUGUCUGCAUGGACCUGAAUGAUCUUAACAAAGUCUGGGAAGUCAAACCCUCUGAAGAAGAUUUGGGAGGAUGAAGCAAGGGAAAUUCUUGAAGAAGUUGCAAAGCAAGUCCAACCUAUCAUGCAGAAAAGAAAAUGGAAAGUUAGGGCCAUUUCUGAGUUUUGUCCGAGCAAUCCAUCUCUUCUAGGGCUAAAUAUAGGAGGAGGGGCUGAGGUUAAGUCGAGACUGUGCAGACUAAACAAUGAGUGAGACUUUUUCCCUUACGAGCAGAUUCUUGAUACCAUGUUUCAUGAGCUUUGCCACAAUGAAUAUGGCCCUCAUAAUGCUGAUUUCUACAAUCUUUUGGAUGAAAUUAGAAAGGCAGUAAAUGUUCCUCUCAGCUGCUGAUCAGUUAUGAUAUUUUCAUUGGCCUAUACAUCAACCUGACACAGAUGGAUUUCUUUUCCUUGUUCUGCUGGAGAUUUUAGUUUCCUACUACUGUAGGAAUGUGAAGAACUCAUGGCCAAGGGCAUUACUGGAAGCGGACAAGGAUUUGAUCUCCCUGGGAGAAGAUUGGGUGGCUAUUCUCGUCAACCUCCUUUGCCUUCACUAAGCCAGAAAGCUCUGGCUGCUGCUGAAAAUAGAGCGCGGCGUAAAAUUCUGUUAUCCCAUGGGCCUAAACAUGUUGGUGGUGAUACUGGCUUUUAUUUGCUUUUAUUUUCCGCAAGGUUUCAUCUGUAACCUAAACAAUGUGCAUCCCACUUCAUAUAUACGGAUUUCAUAUCUGCCUAUAGUGCAAAUGCUUAACCAUUAA